CAACUUUCAGCAACGGAUCUCUUGGCUCUCCCAUCGAUGAAGAACGCAGCGAAAUGCGAUAAGUAAUGUGAAUUGCAGAAUUCAGUGAAUCAUCGAAUCUUUGAACGCACCUUGCGCCCUUUGGUAUUCCGAAGGGCAUGCCUGUUUGAGUGUCAUUAA
rnacentral:rRNA from 3 species